GGGCCAAAUUCGGCUGUUUGAAAGAAACUGACGGCGGACUUCCCGCCCCAGGGGAAGCGAGGGAGUCGGGCAUCCUGCUAUAUCCCUGGAAAAUGUCCGAGGGCAAACUACCCUAGCGCAAGGGCGGCAUCCUGAGCGCCAACCUUGGAUCGGUCGGAGAAGACCCGGGAAGGCCGGGGUCCCGGAGGGGUUCCAGCUGGACAUGACAUCACCACACAGGAUGUUUCCUUCCCAAGCAUUUAUGAUGUCUGCUACCUGCCAAACCCCAUUCCAGGUCCGCGUGCUCCAUCAGGCUCCUGGGGUCAGGAAGAUGUGGAUCAGGGCAUCCGGAGCCCUGGGCUGGCACUGGUGGGACUUUGAGAAAGGCACCUAGAUUCUAGGCUUCCUCAUCUACAGGGUAACCAUGAUAAUGAGGAUCUUAACUGCAUUGUUAUGAAAAUCAAAUACAAUUAUCUUCAAACUAUGGAACUAUCUCAUAAUCAUAAAAACAUUAAAAAAUUUAAAGAAGUUAUUUGGAACAUGACUGACCCAACAGGAGUCAGAAUUUUUCUGUGGGCCCCUAAAACUGCCCUCCUUCUAGAAGGAGAGGUUGGACAAUUAAACUGAAUUUCUGCCCUCCCUGCGGCAAGGACUCUGGUUGCAAAUGGCCGAUGGCCAGUGAGGGGCUGGGGCAAGGGCACAAAGCAGAACUCUCCCUCUUGCUCUUCCUGCCUCCUCGCAGGACCCCAGCACACCCACUCGGGCUCCGGGGGCAUGCCAAGGAGCAACGACACAAGAGCUUCAGGCAGCCCUGACUCCAGCCUCCCAAGGACGUGAGCACCUAAUUCCCUGUGCCGGACCCUUCCCUGCUGGAGCUGUCCGCAGUGGCUGUUCCCCUGCUUUGAACCCUGCCUGCAAUGGCAACUCAGAGAAUGAACUAGGGGACACAGUCAUGGGCGGCCAUGGGAGCAGAGACGGCCCUGAUCCCGCUGCCCCUGUGCUCUCCCUCUCGUUUCUAUGAGGUUUGGUCUCUGUGUUGGUCUCUUGGGCUUUUUAGGUGGCAGGGACCAUGGAUGCCUCUUGGACCACAUGCGUGGCUUUGUGUUUGGCAGCUCCAACCACACAUUGGAGAGUCGAAUACCAGCUGUUCCUCAAAGAAGGGUCUGUUUGUCUCACCUGAAGAGCAGGAAGGGAUGCAGUGCCGAGAGAAGGGACCCCCGCCACAGAAACGCGUAGUCAAGACAACCGAGCCGAGCACCGGACUCCGGCAUCUGGGGGUUGCCUUUGCUGUUGCUGAAAGAUCCUGCGCAACCAACCACCCCAAAAUACAGCGGCUUGAACAAUGGGCAUGUCUUUUCUUUUCUUGCCCCCCCACCCCCCACCCCCUGCCACUUGGCUGGCAGCUCUGCUUGGGGCUGCAGGUCAUCCGCGUGUAGCUGCAGGCUGUGGGGCAGGGUCAGUACCUGGGGCCCUGCCGAAGGGGCAGGGGCUACCCGGCCGUGUUCUCAUCUUGACCACCCUGCGAGUGCCCAGGGCAGGCCAGGCGUACACACUGCAGGCUUGGUGUGAAUAUACCAAACCCGCCAUCAUGGGGCUCCAGCACCCAGCAACACUCUAUGUACCAGCAGGGAGGAAAAUAACUCGUCUCCCCAGGAGCUUAAGAGACAAGUCUGCUUUGAGAGGAUCAGCGAGGAAAUUGUUGCUCAUGUCUGAUAAAUUGAGUUCAUCUGAGUGUCUGUUUUUAUGAACUAUUUUUCCCAUUUGUGACCUGCCUUAGAAAUUUUUGUUAUAAUUUUUAUUUUUUUCCAGCUCUCAGGAACUAUGUGUAUGCCUGCCAUUAUUUAAUAGAACCUUACUGUUUGUGUUUAUAUUAAUAUUUUCGGCCUGUUUCAGCAGCGAUUAUCUUAUUCAACUCUUAUAACAUUGCUCUUGGGAAGGAAAAAUAACAUUAUACCCAUUUUACAGAUGAAGAAAUUAAAUCUUAGCAAUAUCAGUUAACUCCCCCAAGGCCACCACAGCUCGCAAAAUAGCAGAACUUGGAACUAGCACCUAAAUAUUGUAGGAGUCUUCAAGAAAACAUCUGUGUCUGGCAAACAUAGGGUGAUAUUAAAAAAUGUCAAGAACUAGUACCAUAAAACUUGAAUCAAUCAAUCAAAAUACAAAAUGAGGGGCACCUCGGGGGCUCAGUAGGUUAAGCGUCCGACUCUUGAUUUCGGCUCAGGUCAUGAUCUCAGGGUCAUGAGAUUGAGCCCCAAGUCUGGCUCCAAGCUUAGCACAGAGUCUGCUUGAAAUCUUCUCCCUCUGCCCCUCCCUCCCUCAUGAGCAUGCACACACUCUCUCUCAAAAAUAAAAUAAAAUAAAAUAAAAUAAAAUAAAAUAAAAUAAAAUAAAAUAAAAAAUAAAAAAUGCUUUCUUUUUAUUCUUAGUUAAACAAAACUAUAUAUUAUAGGGGCGCCUGGGUGGCUCAGUCGUUAGGCGUCUGCCUUCGGCUCAGGUCAUGAUCCCAGGGUCCUGGGAUCGAGCCCCACAUCGGUCUCCCUGCUCCGUGGGAAGCCUGCUUCUCCCUCUCCCUCUCCCCCUACUUGUGUUCCCUCUCUCGCUGUCUCUCUCUCUCUGUCAAAUAAAUAAAUAAAAUCUUUAAAAAAAACCCCAAAAAACCCUAUAUAUUAUAAAACUCCCAAUCAUGUGAUAUAAUUUGUAGCAUAAUUUGUUAAGUCAUUUUAGUAAUUUUCAAUCACUUUUUGAUUUUUAGGAAAUGUUCAUGUGAUCUCCCUGUAUAACUUGGUGGCUGCUAGCUAAAAGAUGCCAUUGUCUGAGCCAUGGUCUGACACAGGGAGUGACAUCGAUAGACAUUGGGUGACUUGUAUGGAGACUCCUCUUCACGUCAAUGGUAUUGCUCUUGGUAUUCACGAGUUCUACAAAACCAACAGUAAUUCCAUUCAAAGGACUUCUAGACUUCUCUAACACUGCCUAAGAUUUUAUACAAUACCUCUGUCGUUAACCAAGCCGUGAAAACACAUUAUUAGAAUGCCAUUAUUUAUUAAAUGGCUUCAUCUUGUUGAUUUUUAUUCAUUUUCAAGCCAUGGAACAUAAUUCAAUAACCUGAAAUAGUGUAAAACAUUGUUCUGGGGCACCUGGGUGGCUCAGUUGUUGGGCAUCUGCCUUCAGCUCAGGUCAUGAUCCCAGGGUCCUGGAAUCUAGCCCCACAUCGGGCUCCCUGCUCUGCGGGGAGCCUGCUUCUCCCUCUCCCCCGCCCCCCCCACUUGUGUUCCCUCUCUCGCUGGUCUCUCUCUGUCAAAUAAAUAAAUAAAAUCUUAAAAAAAAAACCCAAAAACAUUGUUCUGUUUUUUCACUUUUGUCAUCAAACCACAAGUGCAUUAUAAUGUAAUUGAUCAGACAUAAUCAAUGGGAAAAAAUAGUUUUCUCCUGGAGUUGAUGUUCAUUGUGUAUAUCGACAAAUGGUGUUUCCUGUGCCUCCAUUUCAAGUGUGCCUUCUUCUUCAAGCUCAGUUUAUUUUAAAUAUUUGGUCACUUUUACAAUUUAUGGAAUUAAUCUGUCAUUUUUAAUAACUGAAAAUGUUCUUUCUGAUGCAAUCAAAAGAAGUAUUGGCACUUCUCCUAGACUAUAAUUUAUAAUUUCCAAAUCUCUCUUUUAGAUGUUUUUUAAUAGUUUUCGUUUCCAAAAUUUUAAAGGCUUCCAGUCCAGUUGUGCAUUACAGUGAAUAUACAAAGUGUGAUGCAGUUUUCACACUGCUUUUCUAGCUCAAGCCCUAGAGACUGCCCAUUAAGGCUUGACCAGUCUUCUCAUUUCAGUUCCCAGCUUGUCAGGUGCAUUAGACAUUUUAUUUUAUUUUAUUUUUAAAAGAUUUUAUUUAUUAUGAGAGAA